UGCAUGCUACAUGAAGGCUUCUUGGUGGA
rnacentral:piRNA from 1 species